CAAGCUCGCCGAAUUUGGUGGUAGAGCUCGGGCUCGCCUGGAUCGAGAGCCCGAGCUCCGCCGCCAGAUUCGGCGAGCUCA
rnacentral:pre_miRNA from 1 species